CAAGCGAUCCUCCCACCUUAGCCUCCCAAGUACCUGGGACCACAGACAGAUGGCCUGAUGUUUGCAUUGAUGACAACCCAGUCUCCUCCGGCCUGGCCUGCCCUCUGCACUUCAGAUCUAAGUGUCUGGGCCUGCUGGACGCCCCUACUUGGCUGUAACACAGACUCCUCCCGUUGGUUCACAGACAAAACUCAGCCUGCUUGCUUCUCCUGGUUCUCUUUUGCUAUUUGAAGUCUCCCUUGACUCCUCACUCCCUUUUGCAGCCAAACCAGCACACAAGUGUCUUUUUGCUCCAUCGAUGGCUGUCUGUCCUCACUGGCUCCCACCCCCUGCCCGGCUCAGACUCUCACCAGGAUGACCACAACAGCUCCCUACCUACCAUCUUCUGCUUUUCCCAUCCAUUCGCCAAGGCAACCGGGGGGAUUUUUGCAAAUAAAUAAAAAAAAACCUGACC